rnacentral:rRNA from 1 species
UACGAAGGGGGCUAGCGUUGUUCGGAUUUACUGGGCGUAAAGCGCACGUAGGCGGAUCGUUAAGUCGGGUGUGAAAUCCUGGAGCUCAACUCCAGAACUGCCUUCGAUACUGGCGAUCUUGAGUCCGGAAGAGGUGAGUGGAACUCCUAGUGUAGAGGUGGAAUUCGUAGAUAUUAGGAAGAACACCAGUGGCGAAGGCGGCUCUCUGGGACGGUACUGACGCUGAGACGCGAAAGCGUGGGGAGCGAACAGG